UACAGAGACCUCAAGCGUUAUCCGGAAUCAUUGGGCGUAAAGCGUACCGAGAGGUGGUUUAGAUAGUUUUGGGUAAAAGCCAGAAGCUCAACUUCUGCGUUUGCUCAAAAUACUUCUAGACUUGAGGGACAAAGAGGUGGCUGGAACGAAUGGUGUAUUAGUGAAAUGCGUUGAUAUCAUUCGGAACACCGAAAGCGAAGGCAGGCCACUGGGUGUCACCUGACACUGCUAGGACGAAAGCGUGGGGAGCGAAUGGG
rnacentral:rRNA from 1 species